GUGUGAAGGUUAGGUAAAACUAACUGGAGGCGCGAACCCACUUAUGUUGAAAAAUGAGGGGAUGAACUGUGGAUAGGGGUGAAAGGCCAAACAAACCCGGAGAUAGCUGGUUCUCUCCGAAAUCUAUUUAGGUAGAGCGUCGCGUAUUACUUCUGGGGGUAGAGCACUGUUAUGGCUAGCGGGUCGUCAAGGCUUAGUAAACCAUUGCAAACUCCGAAUACCAGAAAGUAUGAGCGCGGCAGACACACUGCGGGUGCUAACGUCCGUAGUGGAAAGGGAAACAACCCAGACCGUCAGCUAAGGUCCCAAAAUUAUAGUUAAGUGGGAAACGAUGUGAAAAGGCCCAGACAGCCAGGAGGUUGGCUUAGAAGCAGCCAUUCCUUUAAAGAGUGCGUAAUAGCUCACUGGUCGAGUCGGUUUGCGCGGAAGAUUUAACGGGGCUAAACUAUAUACCGAAGCUGCGGAUCGCAAUUUAUUGCGAUGGUAGGAGAGCGUUCUGUAAGCCGUUGAAGGUGAACUGUGAGGUUUGCUGGAGGUAUCAGAAGUGCGAAUGCUGACAUGAGUAACGAUAAAGGGGGUGAAAAACCCCCUCGCCAGAAGUCCAAGGUUUCCUACGCAACGUUAAUCGGCGUAGGGUUAGUCGGCCCCUAAGGCGAGGCAGAAAUGCGUAGUCGAUGGGAAACGGGUUAAUAUUCCCGUACUUCAUAUAACUGCGAUGGGAAGACGGAGUAGGUUAGCUCAGCAAGGCGAUGGUUGUCCUUGUUCAAGCGUGUAGAAAUGGUUCUUAGGAAAAUCCGGGAACCUCUAUUUCAAGGCGUGAUAACGAGCCCUCUUUUGGGCGAAGUGAGUGAGACCAUGCUUCCAGGAAAAUCCUCUAAGCUUCAGGUUAUAUGAAACCGUACCCCAAACCGACACAGGUGGACGAGAUGAGAAUUCUAAGGCGCUUGAGAGAACUCGGGUGAAGGAACUAGGCAAAAUGACACCGUAACUUCGGGAGAAGGUGUGCUCUUGUUAUGUGAUAUCACUUGCUGAUUGAGCAAAGAAGAGCUGAAAAAACUAGGUGGCUGCGACUGUUUAUUAAAAACACAGCACUCUGCAAACACGUAAGUGGACGUAUAGGGUGUGACUCCUGCCCGGUGCUUGAAGGUUAAUUGAUGAGGUUAGCGCUUGCGCGAAGCUUUUGAUCGAAGCCCAAGUAAACGGCGGCCGUAACUAUAACGGUCCUAAGGUAGCGAAAUUCCUUGUCGGGUAAGUUCCGACCUGCACGAAUGGAGUAACGACGGCCACACUGUCUCCACCCGAGACUCAGUGAAAUUGAAAUUGCUGUUAAGAUGCAGUAUACCCGCGGCCAGACGGAAAGACCCCGUGCACCUUUACUACAGCUUUGCAUUGAACUCUGAUCCUACUUGUGUAGGAUAGGUGGGAGGCUUUGAAGCUUUAACGCUAGUUAGAGUGGAGCCACCCUUGAAAUACCACCCUGGUAUGGUUGGGGUUCUAACCUUGGUCCGUAAUCCGGAUCGGGGACAAUGCAUGGUGGGUAGUUUGACUGGGGCGGUCUCCUCCUAAAGAGUAACGGAGGAGCGCAAAGGUAUCCUCAGCACGGUCGGACAUCGUGCAAUGAGCGCAAAGGUAAAAGGAUGCUUGACUGCGAGACUGACACGUCGAGCAGGUAGGAAACUAGGUCUUAGUGAUCCGGUGGUUCUGAGUGGAAGGACCAUCGCUCAACGGAUAAAAGGUACGCCGGGGAUAACAGGCUGAUACCCCCCAAG
rnacentral:rRNA from 1 species